rnacentral:lncRNA from 1 species
GGUUCAAGGUGAAUGUCAGAGUGACAGGGACACGCAGCCACUGCAGGUGGGGAGACGAUGCCUCUACGCCCACUUUCAGAUGGAAAGUCUGUGUCACACAGGGGUUUAGGAGGUGGCCCAGGUCACACAGAGGACACAGAGAACCCUGGGUGGGGGACAGUCCAGAGGCCCAGCCUUCCUUCCAUGCUGUGCUGUUUCUCCAGAUGGAAUGGGGUUCUGUUAUGAUCCUGGGGAUGCUGUUGAGCACAUGGGCCAUGGCACACACAGGAGAAGCCGCCCCUGCUGGCUCUGGGGCACGGGUCAGACACCAAGUCGGUGUCCAGAGCAAAACCCACUCUGGUCUCUCUCCUGCGCAGACCAGGAAAACCUUCGCCUGGACUGCAGUCCGGGACCUGCUCUCUGGGAAGUGUGAAACUCAGGCAAGGAUGAGACAGAAUAUUCCAGCAAAGUUGCUGCUUGAGAACACUUCUGUCUUGCCUCCUGCCCUGGCCUGACUCUGCACCUCAGACUCCACCUGGCAAAGGGGGCAGGAGCGGCCGGCCCUGGCCCAGGAGGCUCAACCCUCCCCACUCUGAGCUGCAACUGUCCCCUGACCCAGCUCAGAGGUGACCCAUAGGGGACAUAACCAGCCCUAGUGGGCCUUCCACAGGACACCCUCGGGGGCUGGGCCAUGUCCGUGAGCUGAGUGCCUCUCUGCCCUCAGACCCCCACAGAGUGCGUGUCUGGUCCUGCCCCCCAGCCCCCAGUGCAGGGGCUCCAAGCUCAGCCCCCACCCUGUGCCCCUAGUGACUCUCUGGGGACCCCCUGUAGCCCCCACUGCACAGACCCCCAGCUGGCCUCCAACGAAGCCAAGCCCAGUGAGCUUGCAGCCUGGGAUGUCCCCUGCUGUAAACACCCCAAGCGUUCAUUUCAGACACAAGCGUGAUCAUGUCCUGACCCGAGCAGCACACAAGUCACCUUUUAUUAGGAAGGGAAAUUCAUUUUGGGGGCAUUUAACUCUGCCUCUCGACGCAGUAACUAGAUUUGAUUAAUAGACUGUCUGCCCCGCUUCUGCUGUCUGCUCUCUUCCCAGAAGAGAACACGUCUAAGAUGUGGAAGGGAGCCUGCCUCUGGGAGGCUGAGUGGCCCACGCACCACGGAGCCCAGUGGUGGAAUGAGUCUCAUCUUCAAGUCCCUCCGGGCAGUGCGUCGCUGGGCACUCCGGCCAGCCGAGAUCUCCACAACUAGACGGAGUUCAGCUACUGUGACGUCNNNNNNNNNNNNNNNNNNNNNNNNNNNNNNNNNNNNNNNNNNNNNNNNNNNNNNNNNNNNNNNNNNNNNNNNNNNNNNNNNNNNNNNNNNNNNNNNNNNCUAGACGGAGUUCAGCUACUGUGACGUCAGUCUACCGCUCACGUGUGUGUCCCGCUCACCAAGCAGCUCUACCCACAGAAUUGUCCUCAGCAACUCUGCUGUUCCCUGAGCCCCACAGACAGCAGCAGGUCAGGAGCUCUCCAGUGGGCAGCACCACCGUCCGCAAUAAGCACCGUGAGGACGCUGGGCACCCGUCCCUGCCCCUGCCCUGGGCGGCACCUGUGGCCGGCGUGGAGCUGCUGUGAAGCUCUCGCUUCACAGGCCCAGUAGAGGCCAAGCACUGCUGUCUCAGGUCCCUGCCCCUUGGGGAUGAUCUGAUUCCUUGGGGCAUUUUCAGUUAAGUCUCCUUCUCUGUCUAGAGAAAAACAUCCUUUAAUUCCAUCAAGAACUGGGGAUGGCUGCCUCCCAGGCCGGCCCAGGGAUGCGGGGCCAUGAGGACGGCUCCCCUCCCAGGCAGCGGACCUGUCACUGACAACAGGGGAGUGCGCUCCAGCCCCGGCGCCAGCCAAGCCCGGGCUUCAGCCCGCCCGCAGCUUGUGGGCCCAGGCAGGCACUGUGCCCUGUGGGACUCAGGGGGCACGGGGGGCACUGUGUCCUAAGGUUCGUCCUGGCUCUGCGCACACCAGCUGCAUGUGUUCUGACCCAAACGCCACUGGGCUCUGGGGAUGGCCACGACCACCUGCCCUACCAAGGGGCCCCAUAGCGAAGGUGGUCAGGAUCACAGGGGCCCAUUCUCACCAGACCUGUGCCGGAUAGAGCUCCUGGACCCUGGGGUAGAGCUGGGCCCCUGCCUGCAGGAAGGGCUCCUGGGAACAGAGUCACACUGGGAAAGCAUCCAAACACCUUCCGAGGGGAGGAGACCCAACUCCGCCUGGACCCCAGGGCACCCUGCAGCUGCCCCCAGCCCUCCCUGAGACCCCGGGCAGGGCUCCUGCCCCCUCAGCUGCCACGCCCUCUCCCUCCCCUGUGCCCCUGUCACCAGCUUGAUUUGGGGGGAGAAUCUUCUUCCAGAGUGCACCGCGGUGUCUGAGGCUGCCUCCCACAGCCCUGCUCUUGUCAUCCCACGUCCUACAGCAACACACCCCAUCCCCACCCCCGGCGGGCAGAGGGCCUGUGUCUCUCUGAGUGCCUCUGCUUUGUGAGUGACCGUGAGCCCCGGUCCACACACGAGCUCUGCCCACGUGCACCCCCUGUUGCCUCUGCGAACAAAGCUGGGGAGUGGGGAUGGGGCGGGAGGGCGUGAUGCUGGGCAGGAGCACCAUGCCUCUCUGAGUGGCCUCGUGCGCCUCCUCUGGACGACCUGGAGAAGGUAGCCACCGGUACUUGAACACCUCAGAUACCAGGUGGCAAUGAUUUGUAUUCAGCCCAGGAGAACGUGUAUCUACAGAAGUCUCGAAUAAAAAUCUAGUAUAGGACACGGUUCACCCUCUGAAAUCACUCUUCAGGUGUGUGGCUUCCACUGGGGGCUGGACUCAGCUUCUCUCUGAUCUUACAGAGGACAUGACCACCACACAGAAGGACUGAACACUGAGCUAUUUACAUUCACACAAAAAGAGAGAUUUAUGACAAAUAUCAUUUUAUAAUAUAUGAUUAUAUACAUCGAUUUUU